rnacentral:rRNA from 1 species
UAACACAGGGACACAUUUGAAGUCUCGGAGCCGGGUGUUGGUUCCGGUAGCGAUCGAGGGAAAUUAGUACCGAAGUCCGGGAUGGAAGAUGGCGAGAAAAGCUGUGUGUAUUUCUGCGGUGCCCGUACCGCAAACCGACACAGGUAGGUAGGAAGAAGAUUCUAGGGCCAACGGGAGAAGGGUUGUUAAGGAACUCGGCAAAUUGACCCCGUAACUUCGGGAGAAGGGGUGCUCCAGAGAUGGAGCCGCAGAGAAUCGGCCCAAGCAACUGUUUACCAAAAACACAGGUUUGUGCUAAAUCGAAAGAUGACGUAUACGAGCUGACGCCUGCCCGGUGCUGGAAGGUUAAGAGGAGAUGUGCAAGCAUUGAAUCGAAGCCCCAGUGAACGGCGGCCGUAACUAUAACGGUCCUAAGGUAGCGAAAUUCCUUGUCAGGUAAGUUCUGACCCGCAUGAAAGGCGUAAUGAUUUGGGCACUGUCUCGACAGCCCGCCCGGCGAAAUUGUAGUACCGGUGAAGAUGCCGGUUACCCGCGACAAGACGGAAAGACCCCAUGGAGCUUUACUGUAGCCUAAUAUUGGGUUUCGAUGUUGCAUGCACAGGAUAGAUGGGACACUGGGAAGCAAGUGCUUUGGCAUUUGUGGAGUGGCCGUUGGGAUACCAUCCUUGCGAUAUUGGAAUUCUAACCUGCGCCUUUGAAUCAAGGCGGGGGACAUUGUUAGGUGGGCAGUUUGACUGGGGCGGUCGCCUCCUAAAGAGUAACGGAGGCGUUCAAAGGUUCGCUCAGCUUGAACGGAAAUCAAGCAAAAGUGUGCAAACGCAGAAGCGAGCCUAACUGCGAGACUGACGGGUCGAGCAGUAACGAAAGUUGGAGUUAGUGAUCCGGUGGUAUGUGAGUGGAAAUGCCAUCGCUCAACGGAUAAAAGUUACCCUGGGGAUAACAGGCUGAUCUCCCCCAAGAGUCCACAUCGACGGGGAGGUUUGGCACCUCGAUGUCGGCUCAUCGCAUCCUGGGGCUGUAUUCGGUCCCAAGGAUUUGGCUGUUCGCCAAUUAAAGCGGUACGCGAGCUGGGUUCUGAACGUCGUGAGACAGUUCGGUCCCUAUCUGUCGUGGGCGCAGGAUAUUUGAUGGGAGCUGUUCCUAGUACGAGAGGACCGGAGCGGACGUACCUCUGGCGCACCAGUUGUUCUGCCAAGGGCUUAGCUGGGCAACUAUGUACGGAUCGGAUAAACGCUGAAAGCAUCUAAGCGUGAAGCCGACCCAAAGAUAAGAUAUCCCAUUGUUUCAAACAAGUAAGACCCCUUGAAGACUACAAGGUUGAUAGGCACGAUGUGUAAGUGGAGCGAUCCAUUCAGCAAGCGUGUACUAAUAGGUCGAGGGCUUGACC